GAUGAACGCUGGCGGCGUGCCUAAUACAUGCAAGUCGAGCGAACAGAUAAGGAGCUUGCUCCUUUGACGUUAGCGGCGGACGGGUGAGUAACACGUGGGUAACCUACCUAUAAGACUGGGAUAACUUCGGGAAACCGGAGCUAAUACCGGAUAACAUUUGGAACCGCAUGGUUCUAAAGUGAAAGAUGGUUUUGCUAUCACUUAUAGAUGGACCCGCGCCGUAUUAGCUAGUUGGUAAGGUAACGGCUUACCAAGGCAACGAUACGUAGCCGACCUGAGAGGGUGAUCGGCCACACUGGAACUGAGACACGGUCCAGACUCCUACGGGAGGCAGCAGUAGGGAAUCUUCCGCAAUGGGCGAAAGCCUGACGGAGCAACGCCGCGUGAGUGAUGAAGGUUUUCGGCUCGUAAAACUCUGUUAUUAGGGAAGAACGAACGUGUAAGUAACUGUGCACGUCUUGACGGUACCUAAUCAGAAAGCCACGGCUAACUACGUG
rnacentral:rRNA from 1 species